UGAUGAAGUUGCUGAUGCCAUACUUCCAGGAAAAGCCUCUAAGCUUCAGAUUAUACCGAAUCGUACCCCAAACCGACACAGGUGGUCAGGUAGAGAAUACUAAGGCGCUUGAGAGAACUCGGGUGAAGGAACUAGGCAAAAUCGUACCGUAACUUCGGGAGAAGGUACGCUCCGAUUGGUGAUGAGACUUGCUCUCUAAGCUGAUUGGAGCCGCAGUGACCAGGUGGCUGGGACUGUUUAUUAAAAACACAGCACUGUGCAAAAUCGCAAGAUGACGUAUACGGUGUGACACCUGCCCGGUGCCGGAAGGUUAAUUG
rnacentral:rRNA from 1 species